rnacentral:ncRNA from 18 species
CGUAAAUGCGCGAUAGACGGUCCUUCUUCCGCAACGAAGAGGGCUAAGAGGGAAUGCGGUGCGGGCCUUGCCCAAUGCCGCAGCUGUCCCCGCAACUGUAAGCGGAGAGCGCACCUGACACGCCACUGGGGCAACGCCCUGGGAAGGCUGGAGAGCGCAGCGACCCGUGAGCCAGGAAACCUGCCGUCUGAAAGUGAAAUCCU